AAUCAUCAUCAUCAAUUUUUGGUGCACAAAAGCCACACGAGAACUAAAUCACCUUUGGGCGUAUCGCGAUGAGUUGGAAUCAACUCUUCCUCCCGAUGAGACGUUUUCCCAAUUGCCCUUAUCGCUAUCGCCUCUCCAUUUCUUGUCUUUGACUUGAUUCCCUCCCUCAAGGGCAACACCAGUUUCCCAUCCAGCCCUCAUUAUCUUUUUUUUUUUCUCCCAAGCUCGGUCGCAACUUCAAACGGUGACGAUGUUGGGGUCACGCCGAGGUGCCUGAAGCAUUAGCGGCUGCCGUCUCAGGGUCAGCUUCUCAGGUGGAGUGCAACCAGAUACGAGCCGUUUGCAGGAUUCAAGGCACUUGACCAAGGGCCAACACCGCUCCUCCCUACCAGGCUCAGAUUACCCCCCGCCUUCAUUCACUUUCCUUGAGUUAUGGCCGCCGGUGUGUUCCGAGGUCUUUGCGUGGAUUGUCCCUAUCCGGUCCGCCCUGACUCAUGGGAGCGCUCGUGACAAAGUGCACCGGCGGAUGUCUUUCACCCACCCAUGCUUAGAAUUACUCAUCUGAUCAGACGGCAUCAGCGCUCCACGGCUGCCCGGGUCAUACAAGCCAAGCCCCUGGGGGCCAAGCAGCUAAUUACAGGCUUCUGCGGCUUCUUUCACCACCGACAAUAUCAGCGUGAGAGAAGAAGCCACUAUAGGACAAAGAAUCGUGACAUCAGUAGUUCCAGCUGGAGUGGAGGGCGUUUCUCUCCAGCAGGCGCACCUGUUCCGCAUUUCCAGUCAAGCCUGGCUUAGUCGUUAGUUGUUCAGUUGCCAAGGCUUUUGUUGGAUUAUUACUCACUGUUGUGCUUCAAGUGUUAUUUUAUUUGAUUUUUUUUUAGACCUCUCGAUGCUAUUCGUAGUCGCUCUCAUUUUGUUCAUCGAUCCAUGUUUCAUCACAGGCAAACCUCAAGUAAGCAGCAAAGUGAACCAAAACGUAACCAUGAUAGUGACAACGUAUGCUGCGAUGGACUUUUUGAAAGUGAGUCCAAGGACUUUGCUUAACUUCCUGUGUACUUGGACAAUCUUGCAUCUUCUCACCUUCUUUGACUCCCUUGUUGUACAUACGUGGAUGCUUUCUGAACCGACGUCUCAAGUGAUGCUGUGUGUGACGUCGUUCGAUUCAAACUCGGAAAUUUUUGUGUGACUAUAAAAAUAUUUUUUUCUGUGAAAAAUUUUGACAAAAUGCUGUAUUGUACAAUUUUGGGCCUUUAGAUCUUCCACCUUUAAACAAAUUGACACGCAUGUGUAAAUAGGGAGCACCUGGUAAAGUGCUUGAAGGAUUAGCAAGUUGUAUGAGUUCGUUACACAUGUUCAGGUCAGCUCUGUGACAACACUGUUGUUUAAACACCUCUUCUUAGACGUGUGUGUGUGUGUGUG